GUGCGCCCCGGGCCGCCGCCCCUCCUUCCCGCCGCGGGGCCCCUCCUCGCCGCCGGCGUUGGGUCCCGCGGGGGCCGGCGGGGCGGCGGCGGGGCCCUCCCGGCGGGCGGGCGGCGGCCCUUUGCCCUGGGGCAGCAGGUGCUCGCGCAGCCGGCGCAGGGCGAAGCCGGACUCGCCGCCCGGCUCCAGCGGCUCGGCGGCCGAGCAGCACAGCCAGUUCCGGGCAGCGGGGGAAACCGAGGCCGCGGCGGCGUUACUGAGAGUGCGGUGGAGGCAGAGACGGGGAUGCCCGGCCGGGGAGCGCGGGAGAGGCGGCGCGGAGAAGGGCUGCGGGUGCCCUGCCCGGGCGCCGCGCCCUGGGGACAUCCCCGGGGGUGACGCGGUGACAGCGGCCGCUGCCCGGUGACCUUGCGGUGCGGUGCCGCGGGGUGAGUCGCGUUAACAGCGUCCGUGCAGCGCGGUGAGCGCUACGGAACGCUCCGGCGGCUGUGCCGAAGGUGUCUGCAGGCAAAUCCGUCCUGUGGCGGCUGAGGGCACGCAGGUACGGCUCGGAGAGGCCGUUUCCUGCAAGUAUGCAGGGCAAAAAAAAAAUGGCUUAUCUCUUUCCUAAGAGUUGUAAAUAAAUAUAUUGUCUGUUUCCUCAGCACAGCACGCCUGGUUAUUGGAUCCAUCGCUCCAUUUUGGAUGCUUAAUGCCGCUUGAAGUUUCUUUUUUCAAUUUAAGAAAUACCAGCAGGAUGGUUUCAGAACAAACUGACAUGAAUAAAUACUUCUGCAUGAAGUGAGCCACACCUCUGCUUGGAUUUUGGCUAUCGUUUAUGUCCAAAUCACUUGCACCUCUGUCCUGGCUGGGGGUUAGGCACCCACAUCAGUGCUCCUAAGGAGCUGCAGCCAGGCGUAGCAACAUGACUUCUGUUGAGCAGACCAGGGAGAAAGCAGAUGUUUUCGCAUCAUAGGGGCCCUUGGAAUUCAAUCUACAGUAUCUGGGAAACAGCCAAAGUGGCCUCUGGUUUGAUCCCUAGAAGUGAGUUCAAAAACUCGGCUUUUAAACACCUGAAAGCAAAAGCAGCGGAUAGCAGAACUCAUGUGAAUCAAAGCCUGAAGGAAGCCAGCGUGUCUUGGCUUCUGUUGUGGCAUCUUUAAUUCAAGGAAACAUGUUGAAAUUGAACCCCAUUGUGAAUCAUGGGUUUACUCAGAAAGCGGGAAUCAAAGAGUAAAGGGAAAGUUAAAUUUGGCUCUGCAUCUUUACUGAAAAGAGUGAAAAUGCCCAUCAGAAGAAGCACUGGAAUGCAUGUGUCUGCCUUGUCUUUUACUCUCUUUAUUUUAACAAUGGAGUGAAACAGCUGUAAAAUAAG
ensembl:lncRNA